AAAAUAUAUACUUCAAAAUGUAAAUUAGAAAACAUAUGACGCAGAUUCUUAAGUUUGUUAGUGUCAUAAUUAUUUCUCUUUUCAUAUUCGUCAUUGUAACAAAUGGAAUUGUCGUAGGAGUUAUCAUAUGUCAAUCUAAUCGACAAUGUACUAAAGAAAUGACUAAAUGCUAUCGUCCUAAACAUCCAAAGUGUGUAUCAGGGAUAUGUAAAUGUUGGUAAUUGUAGGAAUAAAGUUAAAAAAUAAUUUCAAGUAUUUACAUGUAUAACGUUUGUAAUUUUAUAAUUUUCACAAACUUCAACCUAUUUUCUUAAACUUUCAAAUUACUUUGAUCCACUCAACUACUUAUUAUUUUAUUAUGCUAGUGUUGCUGCAUUCGUUCACUCUUAGAAUUAAGAUAUCCACUUUAAUAAUAAACUAGAUAAAUAUCCGUACUUCUGUAUGGGUUUGUUUUAGGUAAUAAUAUUUAAUCAAAUAGCUAGGGAAUAUAUAGGAUUUUUGAUAAGUAACAAAAAUUUUAAUUAAUACAAAUCAAAUUAAAUAAUAUAACUAUCGAAAUAUCUUAUUUUUAUUGAAUCAUUAAAAAUUUUCAACUUGAAUAAAAUGGAAAUAAUCAUAAUAAUUUAGUUUUUAAUACAUGCGCGGAUUUGCUAUGAUUAAUUUUUGCAAAUUAGUAGGAGAUUUAAUUUUUAAUUAUUUUUUAUUUAUUAAUAUUUAUCAACGAAAUACAAUUUUCAGUAUUUAAUAUAUAUUUAUCAAAUACAAUUUCUUUUACAAUAAUCAAUGACAUAUAUUUUACUCAAGCUUUUUUAUCUGUAUCCACACAAUAAACAUUUGUCUUGUUUUUUUUUUUACGUAUAUGUGAUAAAUAUGUGUACUGUAUUUUUGUAUAUUAUUUACAAAUAUGUGUCUCAUAUUUUUUAUUUAAAUACUGAUGAAAAAUAUUUUUCUUUGUAUUUUUUAGAUUAAUUGAUGACAACUAUUUAUUAUAUAUUUUAAAAUGAAUUAUAAAAAAAGAUUUUAGUGCAUACAACUCAUACAUGGGACAAAUGUUUGUUUGUGACUGAACAAUUAGUUAAAUUGAAUACAUUUUAUAUUUUUAAAAUAAUAAAAAUGAACAUAGUUAUAACAUACUAAAUUGAGUUUAUUAUAACAUUGCAGACUAACAAAUGACUUGUACAAAUAAAUCUGUUAAAACUAUUUUUUUUAAAAUAUUAAAAUAAAAAUAAGAAUAACUAUAAUUUACAAACUUUUUUUUUUAAUUUUGAACUUAAUUAAAGUCAUUAAGAAGUUGUUGAAGCCCAAAACUGAUACAUAACUAUUUCUGCCCAAAUUAUUUAUUAAUCAUUUAUUAAUUAUUCAAAUAUUAUAGUUGUGUAUUAUAAUAUAUCUUAUCUUUUGUCAAUAAAAUUAAGGCUUAAUAACACUUUUGGUACUUGUGUUUUCUGAUCCUUCAUUUUUAAAACAGAACAAAGCAGUUCUUGGACUUGACUAAAGGAUAUAAAACUGGUCCUAACCACAUUUACACUUCAAAAAAGCUUAUGUGUCCAGAUUUAGUGGUUGACUAGGCAUUUACACGUCAUUAAAAACUGCAUAUUGUAUUUACACGUCAUUAAGUUGUUUGCAGUAACCCUAAAUCCCAAUCUUCCAUAGUGAUACCAACAACGAUCUCCUUUUCACUUCUAUCAUACAUCAUUCGUUCUCUCGAUCUUCUUCGCUUCUCACUUCAUCCCUUCUCUCAAUCUUCUUCGCUUCCAUGUCAGAAUCAUAUGCCGUGUACAGUAACACUUGUGUGUCACGAAGAAGACAGGUUCGCUGCUUCUGUGACCUUGAUUCGCCGCUCACUAUCUCGUGAACGAAGGAGAAUCCUGGGCGGAGGUUUAAUGGAUGUGGGUUAUACAAGUUGUAUGGACGAAAGGGGUGUAGCUUCUUCAACUGGUACGAUGCAGAAAUAUUGGUUCGUGCAAAGGAGAUGAUUUUCUCACUAUUGAAGAGAAUUUGAUGAAGAUAAAAAGAAGGACAAUUUGAAGAUGAAACAAGAUGAGAAUUUGAAAAAGAAGCUUAAGUUCUGCCAAGGAGUAGUUCUUUUAGUUGUAGUGGUCAUUAUGGGAUUGAUAUGUACUGUUAUGUUGAAAAAGUGUUGAAUUAGUUGUUUAUAAGCUGAAUUAAGUUGUUUAAUAAGUUGUUAAUUGUUGUAGCAGCUGAAUUAUUUGUUUAGAAGCUGAAUUAAGUUGAUGAAUUAAGUUG